CCAGCGAUCGAUUUUCUUCACUCACACGGCGCCAUCGAAAAGGUGAGGACAGAGUCACGGACCAGCGCGCCAAGACCCUGAAGGCUGGAAGUUACAAUUUAAAUUCGAAAAGGGUGAGGAUAGUGCAGAACGCGCUAGCAGAGUUAAGUCCGCAAGGCCUGUUGGAACCAGAGGAGUGUUACCAGCAGUAAUUGAGUGGAAGAGGUUCGCGUUGUAAUGGCGGUUCUUCGUUGUCUCCGUAAGCUCUUUUAGACUCUGUUAGGCGGCACAAU